UCCCUAGUGGCUCAAAUGGUAAAGCGUCUGCCUACGGUGCGGGAGACCCGGGUUCAAUCCCUGGAUCGGGAA
rnacentral:tRNA from 1 species